UCUGGACAGACUGCACUGGGACCUCUAUAUUGGGACGCCGCUGGACUUCUUGACUAUAAAUGGAAACAUUGUCAUCUAGGUACUUUCCGCUCAUAACGAUGAUGUCACAAAGCAGACUUUUUUUUUUUUUUUUUUUUUUUUUUUGUCCCGGAGUGGAAGCUCAGCUUGGCCACAGGAUGGGCAUUAAGCCUCAAGCCCCUUACGGAGCCAUGGAUAGGAAUGAAAAGGGUUGGGCAACAUUUGAUGUUCCCUGAUGGAAAUUUGAAUUGUUUGCACUUUUGGUCAUUGAUAUAGGAAAAGUAUGGGGUUUUCUGUUCUAACAUUAAAAACCAUGGUCUCCAGUUCCAUGCCCUGGUGGUCCUGAGCUGGCCCCAUGUGUUGGAGCUGC
rnacentral:sRNA from 1 species